rnacentral:rRNA from 1 species
CCUACGGGAGGCAGCAGUGAGGAAUAUUGGUCAAUGGGCGCGAGCCUGAACCAGCCAAGUAGCGUGAAGGAUGACUGCCCUACGGGUUGUAAGCUUCUUUUAUAAAGGAAUAAAGUGAGGCACGUGUGCCUUUUUGUAUGUACUUUAUGAAUAAGGAUCGGCUAACUCCGUGCCAGCAGCCGCGGUAAUCCGGAGGAUCCGAGCGUUAUCCGGAUUUAUUUGGGUUAAAGGGAGCGUAGAUGGGUUGUUAAGUCAGUUGUGAAAGUUUGCGGCUCAACCGUAAAAUUGCAAUUGAUACUGGCAGUCUUGAGUACAGUAGAGGUAGGCGGAAUUCGGGGUGUAGCGGUGAAAUGCUUAGAUAUCACGAAGAACUCCGAUUGCGAAGGCAGCUUACUAGACUGCCACUGACAUUGAGGCUCGAAAGUGUGGGUAUCAAACAGGAGUAGAUACCCUAGUAGUC